CAGUCGCCACGGGAAUACAGAGGGUGCAAGCGUUAAUCGGAAUUACUGGGCGUAAAGCGCGCGUAGGUGGUUUGUUAAGUUGGAUGUGAAAUCCCCGGGCUCAACCUGGGAACUGCAUCCAAAACUGGCAAGCUAGAGUAUGGUAGAGGGUGGUGGAAUUUCCUGUGUAGCGGUGAAAUGCGUAGAUAUAGGAAGGAACACCAGUGGCGAAGGCGACCACCUGGACUGAUACUGACACUGAGGUGCGAAAGCGUGGGGAGCAAACAGGAUUAGAGACCCGCGUAGUCCCUGUCUCUUAUAC
rnacentral:rRNA from 1 species